rnacentral:rRNA from 1 species
AACGGCCGCGGUAUUUUGACCGUGCAAAGGUAGCGCAAUCAAUUGUCUUUUAAAUGAAGGCCUGUAUGAAUGGCACAACGAGGGCUUAACUGUCUCCUUUUUCCAGUCAAUGAAAUUGAUCUUCCCGUGCAGAAGCGGGAAUUCUAACAUAAGACGAGAAGACCCUAUGGAGCUUAUAAACGCAAGAGCAGACCACGUCAAUUACUCUGACUUAUUAGACUAAAACCAACUGAGUACCCUGCUCUCAUGUUUUUGGUUGGGGCGACCACGGAGUAAAACUUAACCUCCACGCAGAACGGAAACACAUUAUUUCCCAAUUUAAGGGAAACAACCCUAAAAAUCAGAACAUCUGACUUUUAUUGAUCCGGCAAAGCCGAUUUACGAACCGAGUUACCCUAGGGAUAACAGCGCAAUCCUCUCUUAGAGUUCUUAUCGACAAGGGGGUUUACGACCUCGAUGUUGGAUCAGGACAUCCUAAU